ACUCCUACGGGAGGCAGCAGUGGGGAAUAUUGCGCAAUGGGCGGAAGCCUGACGCAGCGACGCCGCGUGAGGGAUGAAGGCCUUCGGGUCGUAAACCUCUUUCAGCAGGGAAGAAGCGCAAGUGACGGUACCUGCAGAAGAAGCACCGGCUAACUACGUGCCAGCAGCCGCGGUAAUACGUAGGGUGCAAGCGUUGUCCGGAAUUAUUGGGCGUAAAGAGCUCGUAGGCGGUCUGUCGCGUCUGCUGUGAAAACUCAGGGCUUAACCCUGAGCUUGCAGUGGGUACGGGCAGACUAGAGUGCGGUAGGGGAGACUGGAAUUCCUGGUGUAGCGGUGAAAUGCGCAGAUAUCAGGAGGAACACCGGUGGCGAAGGCGGGUCUCUGGGCCGUAACUGACGCUGAGGAGCGAAAGCAUGGGGAGCGAACAGGAUUAGAUACCCUGGUAGUCCAUGCCGUAAACGUUGGGCGCUAGGUGUGGGGCUCUUUCCAUGAGUUCCGUGCCGCAGCUAACGCAUUAAGCGCCCCGCCUGGGGAGUACGGCCGCAAGGCUAAAACUCAAAGGAAUUGACGGGGGCCCGCACAAGCGGCGGAGCAUGCGGAUUAAUUCGAUGCAACGCGAAGAACCUUACCAAGGCUUGACAUGGGGUGAAAACUCGCAGAGAUGCGGGGUCCGCAAGGGCGCCUCACAGGUGGUGCAUGGUUGUCGUCAGCUCGUGUCGUGAGAUGUUGGGUUAAGUCCCGCAACGAGCGCAACCCUCGUUCUAUGUUGCCAGCACGUGAUGGUGGGGACUCAUAGGAGACUGCCGGGGUCAACUCGGA
rnacentral:rRNA from 1 species